rnacentral:misc_RNA from 1 species
GUAGGUGAACCUGCGGAAGGAUCAUUACAGAGUAUCAUGCCCUUCGGGGUAGAUCUCCACCCUUGAAUAACAUACCUUUGUUGCUUUGGCAGGACGCACUCGUGCCAGGGGCUUCGGCUCUUGAGUGCCUACCAGAGAACCACAACUCUGUAAUAAAUGUCGUCUGAGUACUAUAAAAUAGUUAAAACUUUCAACAACGGAUCUCUUGGUUCUG